CCCGACAAAGCCAAACCCUCCGCGAGGAGGGGACGGAAAGUGACGGAUCUUCCCGAAGUGAAGAUGGCCGAGCUGCCGAAG
rfam:Desulfuromonas soudanensis strain WTL chromosome, complete genome.